rnacentral:ribozyme from 1 species
UAUUCAGCAACUCCUAUCCCUACCUCCGCGUGGUACCGGCUGGAAACUACGAGCAACCUUAGGGAAGAUCGGGUAACCAACCACGGUGGGAACUUUGGUCGUAGGCUGGCAGGGAAGG